rnacentral:lncRNA from 1 species
AGUGCUUGAUGAUAUUAGGUUUUCAGUUCUUGGAUGAAGGGAUGUGCGAUUAUGAUGAUAGUGAUUUUCGAUUAGGAUCAUAGUGAUCCCCUAAGGUUGAGGGGGUGAUUUGUUGAAUAGUAUGAUUUAAGGGACGAAAAUAAUUAAAAGGGCAGCUCUAACGGAAAAACUUGAUAGCAUCAAGUGUUUGGUACUAUCGAUAGUAUAGUAGCCAUUUAAAAGCACCAAGUUAUUGGUGCUGGUAGGUUUUCAACUUUUUGAUGAAGAAGGUUAAGAUAAUAAUAGUUUCUUAGGAUUGUGUGGGUGGUUGGUAUAGCAUAACUUAAGAGGUGACAUUAGUUAAAGAAAUAGAUCUAACGAUAUAAAACUUAAAAGUACGUACUUUUAAAAGUAUCAUAGUCGAACUCUCUCUAUAUAUGGAAACUACUCCAUU